AGGCUUGUAGCUCAACGGGAGAGCAGCCCUCAGCCAAAAGGUGGCUGAAGUGCAUCUUGCAGGUUCGAAUCCUGCCAAGUCUU
rnacentral:tRNA from 1 species